rnacentral:ncRNA from 2 species
CCAGAUUGAUAAGCGCCAGAGCUUGCGUGAUGAAGGCUGAUGUACGUGCUGACUUAGAGUAGAGAGCAUGGACGAAGCUUCAUACGGAAAGCUGACGAGGUGAAGGUGUUCGAAAUUUCGGCGGGGACCUUCCGGUAUAUAGCGGCCAACCGAAAGCCGAUACGCAAAACGAUUGGGCGACCAAUCCGACAAACGUACGGCGGGCUGCAG